rnacentral:rRNA from 1 species
UACGUAGGGGGCGAGCGUUGUCCGGGAUAAUUGGGCGUAAAGGGCGUGUAGGCGGAUACAUAAGUCGGACGUGAAAGGCGCGGGCUCAACCCGUGUAAGCGUUCGAAACGGUGUGUCUUGAGUGCGGUAGAGGAAAGCGGAAUUUCUGGUGUAGCGGUGGAAUGCGUAGAUAUCAGAAGGAACACCGGUGGCGAAGGCGGCUUUCUGGACUGUCACUGACACUGAGGAACGAAAGCCAGGGGAGCAAACGGG